UACGAAGGGGGGCUAGCGUUGCUCGGAAUUACUGGGCGUAAAGGGCGCGUAGGCGGCACUGUUAGUCAGGCGUGAAAGUCCUGGGCUCAACCUGGGAACUGCGCUUGAUACGGCAGAGCUAGAGGAUGGAAGAGGGUCGCGGAAUUCCCAGUGUAGAGGUGAAAUUCGUAGAUAUUGGGAAGAACACCGGUGGCGAAGGCGGCGACCUGGUCCAUUACUGACGCUGAGGCGCGACAGCGUGGGGA
rnacentral:rRNA from 1 species